AACUAACGCUGGCGGCGUGCCUAACACAUGCAAGUCGUACGAGAAAGCCGGCUUCGGCUGGUGAGUAAAGUGGCGCACGGGUGAGUAACGCGUGGAUAAUCUGCCCUUAAGUGUGGAAUAACGUACCGAAAGGUGCGCUAAUACCGCAUAAUGCCUGGCAACACAAGUUGUCCGGCCAAAGAAGGCCUCUGUUUACAAGCUUUCGCUUCAGGAUGAGUCCGCGUACCAUUAGCUUGUUGGUGGGGUAAUGGCCUACCAAGGCUGCGAUGGUUAGCUGGUCUGAGAGGAUGAUCAGCCACACUGGAACUGAGACACGGUCCAGACUCCUACGGGAGGCAGCAGCUAAGAAUAUUCCGCAAUGGACGAAAGUCUGACGGAGCGACGCCGCGUGGAUGAAGAAGGCCGAAAGGUUGUAAAGUUCUUUUGCUAGGGGAGAAUAAGUGAGGGAGGGAAUGCCCUCAUGAUGACAAGGACUAGCGAAUAA
rnacentral:rRNA from 1 species